UCCCUGGUGGUCCAGUGGUUAGGACACCACAUUUUCACUGCCAAGGCCCUGGGUUUGAUCCCUAGUCAAGGAA
rnacentral:tRNA from 1 species